rnacentral:misc_RNA from 1 species
CUAGGGAGCCGGCCAUAGGGCCGGCGACGUUCUCCACUUUGAUCACGGAGAACGGUACUAAUGUCGACGAGCUCGUCGUCCUGGCUUCGGCCAGGCGCAAUCUGCUGAGUUUUGAGGGACUGAUCGCAGGAAUCACCUGUGAUUGCUCCUCGGCGACCCUUGAAAACUACACAGUAGCCACAACACCGCGUCCCUAU